rnacentral:lncRNA from 1 species
CUUUUCUGGUGGUUGACAUUUCCUUGGACCUUUUCCUUUCUUCCUAAGGGAGUGGAGUAAGAAAAGGGGGACAUAAGAACCAAUGUCUGUUAUUAAGGACUAUCAAGCACUUUGAGCCCUCGAGGUGGAGGUUGCAGUGAGCCAGGAUUGCACACUAUACUCCAGCCUGGGUGACAGAGUGAGACCCUGUCUCCAAAAAAUAAAAAAAAGUAUGAGCAAAAACGUGAAGAGUGAGAGAUCAAAGCAAGAAUAGAAUGAGUUAAGAAGGCUCGAGAAGAGCAUGAGAGGGAGGAAGAAGCCAGACCGCAGUCAGGAGCUCAGUAUGGCUCUUUUCCAGGUGGCUGGCCAGUGAGGGCUCAGCGAGGACUCAGUGGCAGCUGCAUUGUUGCUUGGUUUCCCCCUCUUCCCAGACCUGCUUCUUCAUUUCCUUUGAGGUGUACCUUCAAGAAGCAUUGCUCUGUAGUGUGACUCUCUGCCUCAAAGUCUGAUUCCAGGGAUCUUGAUCUGGGACAGAUGGUUGUUAGCAUGUUACUUGGCACCAGCAGGUACUCAAGGAAUGUUAGUUUUCUUCUGUUAUGGCCUUAACCUACUCUUAGAGACUGUAUCAGGAAAGAAUUUCUAAU